AACGAACGCUGGCGGCAUGCCUAACACAUGCAAGUCGAACGGGUACCUUCGGGUGCUAGUGGCGCACGGGUGCGUAACGCGUGGGAAUCUGCCCUUGGGUUCGGAAUAACUCAGCGAAAGCUGUGCUAAUACCGGAUGAUGUCGAAAGACCAAAGAUUUAUCGCCCGAGGAUGCGCCCGCGUUGGAUUAGCUAGUUGGUGGGGUAAAGGCCUACCAAGGCGACGAUCCAUAGCUGGUCUGAGAGGAUGAUCAGCCACACUGGGACUGAGACACGGCCCAGACUCCUACGGGAGGCAGCAGUGGGGAAUAUUGGACAAUGGGCGAAAGCCUGAUCCAGCAAUGCCGCGUGAGUGAUGAAGGCCUUAGGGUUGUAAAGCUCUUUUACCCGGGAUGAUAAUGACAGUACCGGGAGAAUAAGCUCCGGCUAACUCCGUG
rnacentral:rRNA from 1 species